rnacentral:rRNA from 1 species
AGAGUUUGAUCCUGGCUCAGGACGAACGCUGGCGGCGCGCCUAAUACAUGCAAGUCGAGCGGGUCCGCUUUGAGGGAAGGCUUCGGUUGGAACUUGGAGCAGAUCAGCGGCGGACGGGUGAGUAACGCGUGGGCAACCUGCCCUAUCGCCCGGGAUAACCCUCGGAAACGGGGGCUAAUACCGGAUGCGGUCACGAGCUCGCAUGAGGUUGUGACGAAAGGGUUUACCUGCGAUAGGAUGGGCCCGCGUCCCAUUAGCUAGUUGGUGGGGUAACGGCCUACCAAGGCGACGAUGGGUAGCCGGCCUGAGAGGGUGGACGGCCACACUGGGACUGAGACACGGCCCAGACUCCUACGGGAGGCAGCAGUAGGGAAUCUUCGGCAAUGGGCGAAAAGCCUGACCGAGCGACGCCGCGUGAGGGAAGAAGGUCUUCGGAUCGUNAACCUCUGUCCUUAGGGACGAAGGUGACGGUACCUAAGGAGGAAGCCCCGGC